ensembl:lncRNA
UCUGGGGUCUCUGUGGGUCCGGCUCCUGACUCCUCAUGAGGCCCCUAUGGGUCGGGGUUUGGGGUCCCUAUGGGGUGGGGUCCCUAUGGGUCGGGGCUUGGGGUCCAUGCCGUGUUCCCGUGGGUCAGGAUGGGCGCUCAGUAUUUGGGGUCCUCAUGGGUCACCAUUGGGUGCCCCAUAGAUGUGGCUGUGCGCCCCAUAGGUGGAGUUGGUUUCCACAGAGAGGACUUUGGGCGCCCCAUAGAUCGGCACUGGGUGCCCCAUAGUGGGCUGGUUGCCCCAUAGAUGGUCUGUGUGCCCCAUAGAUGGGCUGUUUGCCCCACAGCUUGGUUGGUUGCCCCAUAACUGGGCUGGUUGCACCAUAGAUGGAUUGGUUGCCCCACAGCUGGGCUGGUUGCCCCAUAGCUGGUUUGGUUGCCCCAUAGAUGGUCUCUGUGCCCCAUAAAUGGAUUGGUUACCCCAUUGAUGGAUUGGGUGCCCCAUAGCUGGGCUGGUUGCCCCAUAGCUGGGCUAGUUGCCCAUAGGUGGGUUGAUAGCCCCAUAGAUGGGUUGGGUGCCCCAUAGAUGGUCUCUGUGCCCCAUAGAUGAGUUGGUUGCCCCAUAGCUGUGUUGGUUGCCCCACAGCUGGGCUGGUAGCCCCACAGCUGGGCUGGUAGCCCCAUCUCCAUCCGUGCCCCCGUUUCCCGCAGAGCUGCAGCAGCUGCGCUCGGCGCUGCCGGGAGCCGCGGUGCUGCAGCGCCUGCCGCAGUCCGGCGCCGUUUUGGUGCUGCCGCCGGCGGCGCCGCGCGACCUCCUGGAGCUCUACUUCGAGAACCGCCGCAGCGCCGGCGGCAAAGUGGGCGCCGUGAGGCUGCGCCGCGAUGGGGCCGCCGUCGUCACCUUCCGAGACCCACAGGUGGUGCCGCGGGUGCUGCGCCGGACGCAUCGGCUGCAGGACGUGGAGCUGCGUGUGGUGCCGUACUACCAGGCCCUGGAGAUGGAUGGCGCCGAUCCGGCACCGGGCGAUGGCACAGAUCCGGCACUGGGCGAUGGCACAGAUCCGGCACCGGGCGAUGGCACAGAUCCGGCACCAGGUGGUGUAGAUCCGUGGGAUCUGGCAGCCACCAACACCUCGCAGCUGAGUGCGGAGCUGCCGGCUGCGGACUCUCCGGUGAUGCCACCGUGGACGACCCUGGACCCCACGGUGACACCAAAAGGGACAAACCGAGACCCCGUGGUGGUGACACCAGGAGGGACCCUGAACCGCCCGGUGACACCAGGGAGGACCACCGAGGACCCCAUGGUGACACCAGGGAGGACCCAGAACCCCACGGUGACACCAGGGAGCACCCGUAACCUCAUGGCGACACCAAAGACGACAACCCGCGUCCCUCCGGCGACACCAAAGACGCCCCCCCAAGACCCCACGCCGACACCAGGUGUGACCACCCUGGACCCCAGCGCGGCGUCACCGUCACCAUCGCCGGCCCAGGAGCGCGUGGUGCUGCCGGAAGCGACGCUGCAAUUCCUGCGCCGCGCCGACGUCCGCGCUCAGCUGUCCGGCACCGCGCCGUACGCCGUGGUCGGCACCGCGGUGCUGCUGACGGCCCCCAGCCCCGCGGACGCCCGCCGUGCCGCGCGGCGCCUGCAGGACGCGCUGGGUGCCUUCGCCGUGGCGGUGCCGCCGCGGUGCCGCGUGCCGGGGCCGGGAUCGCCGUGCUGGCGGCGGCUGCGGUGCUGCGCGGUGCGGCGGAGCGCGGACGGGCGCUGGGUGCAGGGCCUGACCCUGCGCGGCAUGGAGGAGGAGAACCGGCGCCGCGUGUGGGACGCCGUGCGGGGGGAUGGCAGCAUGGAUCCCGGCGGGGUGGAUCCCGGUGGCGUAGAUCCUGGCGGGGUGGAUCCCAGCGGUGUGGAUCCCGGUGGUGAGCGGCAGCGCGGCGGGGAUGGCGGCGGGGAUCCCACGGUGGGUGCAGAUCCCGCUGUGCGGCCCAGCAGAGGACGCAGGGUGGAUCCCGACGGAGAUCCCAACUCGUGGCUCAACCUGGAACCCGACGGAGAGCCCGAUUCACAGCCCGUCCUGGAUCCCAGCGUGGAUCCCAACGUGGAUCCCAAUGGAGAUCCCAAUUCACGGCCCAUCAUGGAACCCAUCCUGGAUCCCAACAGAGAUCCCAAUUCACGGCCCAGCGUGGAUCCCAGCAGAGAUCCCAAUCCAUGGCUCAUCGUGGAACCCAGCGCGGAUCCCAUGGUGGAUCCCAGCGCCGAUCGGCGGCCCAGCCCGGCCCCCUCCGCGGAUCCCGCAGCUCCCGGCGCGGCGCCGGCGGAGGCGGUGGUUCCGAUGGCCGCGGGCGCCCUGCGCUUCCUGCAGGAGCGGCGCCGGGCUCUGCUGGCCGCCGUCGGCGGCGUCUCCGUGCUGCCGCUGGGGGGAUCCGACGGCUGCGCCCUGCGGGUGAGCGCCGCGCGGGGCGGGCGGGGCGGGGCGGUGCUGCUCUGCUCGGUGCUGCUGUGUUUGGUGCCGCUCUGCUCGGCGCUGCUCCACUCGGUGCCGCUCCGCUCGGUACUGCUCUGUUUGGUGCUGCUCCGCUCGGCGCUGCUGGGUGCGGUGCUGCUCUGCUCGUGGUUCUGCUCUGUGCCGCUCCGCUCGGUGCUGCUCCGCUCGGCGCUGCUCUGCUCGGUGCGGUGCUGCUCCACUCGGUGCUGCUCCGCUCGGUGCCGCUCUGCUCGGCGCUGCUCCGCUUGGUGCUGACGGUGCUGUGCGGUGCUGUGCGGUGCUACUGGGGGCGGUUCUGCUCCGCUCGGUGCUGCUCUGCUCGGUGCAAUGCCGCUCCGUUCGGUGCGGUGCUGCUCCACUCGGUGCUGCUCUGCUCGGUUCCGCUCUGCUCGGUACCGCCCCACUCGGCGCGGUGCUGCUCUGUUCAGUGCGGUGCUGCUCGGUGCGGUGCUGCUCCGCUCGGUGCGGUGCUGUGCUGUGCAGUGCGGUGUUGCACCACUUGCUGCUGCUCUGCUCGGUGCUGCUCUGUUUGGUGCCGCUCUGUUUGGUGCUGCUCCGCUCGGUGCUGACAGUGCUGUGCGGUGCUGUGCGGUGCUGUGCGGUGCUGCUGGAGGCGGUUCUGCUCCGCUCGGUGCCGCUCCGUUUGGCACUGCUCCGUUCGGUGCGGUGCUGCUCCGUUUGGUGCUGCUCCACUCGGUGCAGCUCUGUUUGGCGCUGCUCCACUCGGUGCUGCUCUGCUCGGUGCUGCUGGGUGCGGUGCUGCCCUGCUCGGUUCGGUGCCGCUCCGCUCGCUGCAGCUCUGCUCGGUGCUGCUGGGUGCGGUGCUGCUCUGCUCCGCUCCGUGCUGCCGGCGCGGUGCGGUGCCGCUCCGCUCGGUGCCGCUUCACUCAGCGCUGCUCCACUCGGUGCCGCUCUGCUCGGUGCGGCGCUGCUCUGCUCGCUGCUGCUCCGCUCGGUGCUGACGGUGCUGCUGGGUGCUCUGCUCGAUACAGAAUCACAGAAUCACAGAAUCACAGAAUCACUAAGGUUGAAAAGACCUAUAAGAUCAUCCAGUCCAACCAUCCACCCAUCACCAAUGGUUCUCACUAAACC